CUGAAGCCUUGAUAAAAAGCCUACAGGCUGCAUGGCUGCCUUUAUAGUAUGAGUUCAGUGAAAGACUUUGCCCAAGUAAACAAGUAAUGGACAAAACCACAUUGCACCACUUAAGUGCUGUAAAGAAUUCCCAUCGCUGCUGGAUGGACACAAUGCUUGAGAUGUGCCCAGAAAUGCACAUAGUCCUUGGAACUGUGUGCAGUUCUGGAUGCUCUGUCUCUACAAGGAGCUGUAAAAAGUGCUGAAAAGAGCAACUAAAGUGAUGAUCAUCUGAGCUUAGGAAAAAUAGAUUUUCACUUAAGAGACCCUGCAACUUUGGAACAUGCUGUUUCAAACCGCUGGAGAGAAAUGACAUGGAUCAUUGGCACUCUGACAACCAUGUGCUUCGAUUUGUGGUGGUGGAUGCGUAGAUGCGUUCAGUGCACCUGCUGCACAGCCCAGUAGGUUCUGCUGUGAGCAAUUCUUUCAGCACGCCUUACAGCCAGGAAGGGUGAGGUGCUACGAGUGAUCAGCUCAGGAAACAGAGGCCCUGUGCUGCUGAUCCCCACCCCCUUCUGUUGCUUUUGCACUGCUCAGUGGUGGUGUAGAAACAAGAAGGCCUCUUCCUGCCCUGGCAACACUGCAGCAGCUUCCAUGCCACUAACGGGGGCACAAAAGCAAGAUGCCCCACUGGGAUUCUUUGGGAUAAAGCCUUCUCUACCUCUGGGUGACCCUGAAGCAGCUGGCAUCACUUCUUCUGCCCCACUGAGCAGCAAGCCCUGGAAGAGCCUCCCGUCCACCCGCGGCAAUCGUUUCAGCACGGCCGUAUAUGUAUGUAUCCCCUGCGCAUGCAAGGCGUAUCCCCAGGCUGCCUGCUGGUGCCUACACUUGUGCCCAUGGAUGGGCCGCUCCUUCUUUUUGUACGCAGCGUGUCCACCAGACCCAACGUAGUCACAUCUGGCGCUGCAAGGGAGCUCAUCGGAGGCGGAUCCCGACUGCGGCUUCAGAACUUUUUCGAAUAACAGCUCUGUGUGCUUGUGUGUGUGUGUGGGGUGGGAAAUGGGACCAACAAGCAUGUUGGCAGGAAUCCACAUAAGGAACAGCAUCAGGUCAGGAUGGCAUGAACUUUGUAACAGUGCAGAAGAAUCAGAGAAAGGAGAUGGGAAGCCUAGAUGCUUGUAACCUCAACUCUUGAGGAAUGUAAAAUGUUGCUGUUUAUGGCAAGGUUUGUUUAGAAAAACAAUAUAGAGCGAGGAACUUGGAAAAUUACUAUGUGCUUAGUUAUUCUUUUCUCUUAGGUUUUGUGACAUGUAUAAAUUCUCGACAGACUGUCAAAUG